GACUUGCAGAGAAAUGCAGCACCGGAAGAGAAAGGAGGGUGCUCUGAGAGCCUCCCGGAGCCCCGGAGGGGGUUGCUUGCUGCUCAGGGGCGCCCCCAGCCCCUAGCUAGUUCCCAUGGGAUGGCGUUGGGGCCCAGGGGCCAGUCCGGGCGGCAGUGCUUGCCUGGUGGCUACCUCAGGAGCACCUCGAAUGAGAAGUGGCCCCUAGACCCCCUGGGCUAGGUCAGACUGAAGAGGAAAAGCCGGCGCCGAAGGACUCAGAUCGGGAGCUUCCGCAGCCAGCCAGGGUUGCACCGCCUGCUACUCUUAGAACCCUGCCCAGAGGCAGGGUUCUUCCUAGCUUACCUGCAGGAGGGGAUCAAGGCGAGGGGCUCUGCCAGUGCCCUCACUUCAACCCUGUGGGGAUGAGAAGGAUUCUGACACUUGUAUUGCUUCCCUGCUGCCUCUUGGGAGAGGGGGAGGUGAUAAACCGCCUUGGGGACGCCAAAUUGCUAGUUCCCAUCUUUUCCUUAAUGGAAACACAGAAAGCAGGCUGCCUUGCUUCUGGAGGAGAAUUUGUGCCGGCUCCAGUCCUGCACCUUCCUUGAAAGCAGCAGACAGGGUCUGUCUUAUUCUAUGAGAGGGGGAGCCACAUGAUGUGGUCGGCUGCAGUCCUCAAGGGAGGGUGGCUUCCAAACUUUCCUUGGUUUCUAAACCUCAGCUCAAAAUUUAAUCACAGGUAGAGUAGAAACCAGAGCGGAACAACCAGCGAUGGUUCUUUUUGAAAGCACGGGGCGUAGAGACCUUCCAGGAAGGGGCUUCCCUGCAGGGUCCUGUCCGUCCAGGGGCUCGCUGACCCUACAUGAGCCGGGUGCCAUGUCACAAACGUCCUGAGACCUUCCGGUUUGGCCCGAGGAUUCUCGGUCCCCACAUCACGAGAGCUGCUGCUACCAAAGUCACAAUCCAAUUUCCCAUUGCUAAAGCCGCUAGACAGUGACCUCCAAGGCUCCACCUUGGAGUUCCCCCCUCCAAGAGUGACAGGGAUCCUGAGCCAGGCCCCCGGGGGCCAGUAGGAACCAGGAGGCGGCAGGCAGUCCCCACCGACAGGUCCUAGGAAAUUCUGCUCUCGGGGACUAAGCACCUAAGGACUGAGAACUGAAGGGCUUUAGGUGCCUCGAAGAGAAUCGAGAUGGUGGUCCAGACACUCCUAACAGCAUACGUCCCCAUCUUCCAUGCCUGGAAAUGACAGAAAAAUUUAAAAAUCCAUUAUAACCAGGAGAACAUGAAGGGCACCCUUGUGGGCCAGGAAUCCUGGGGGUCGGGGGCUGUUGCUCUGGCUGGAGGGGAGCAACUGCUGGCAGGUGACGGUGGCACAGAGGCAGCAACCGAGGGGUCUAGGGAACCAUCGGGGUGACCCACAGGGGUAUCUGUGGUAAGCCCCACCCCUGGCUGUGCAAAGCAGCAGGCGGUGGACAGAAAAGGAUCCUGUUGGUAACACCUAACAGAACAGGGAGUCUCAUGUCCCCAGAGUGGUCACUGAGGCCCCUGGCAGCCAGCUGGACCCUCCACACAGUCUGGAGACCACUGACUACUGACAAACAGGGACCCUUGCAUAUGAACAGGAAGCAGCACCAGGCACCACACAAGAAGGACUUCACCCGAGGCAGGGCCAGGAUUGCACUUCCACCCUCUUCUCCCAAAUUCCCUAGCAAGUAGGUGUGGCUGUGUGAGCUGAAUGUCAGUGGGUGUGACUGGCACCUCUCCUGUGCCUGGACAAAGCAUUUGGGCCUGGACGGUGACAACCCUAGUGACUCAGGAAUCUGUGUGUUGAGGAUGGCCAGUCACCAUCCUGCAGCCAGGACUCUUGAACAGCUACAGGAGUUGAGACCAUAGUCAAACUGGAGCCCUUGCCAUGUGCUGUACAGAGAGAAGUCCGCUGCCCUGUUGUUGGGGCUGUUCCACCUGAAACAAAGGGUCUGGACGUUGGAGCAAUUUAACUGAACUGUGCUUGGUUGAGUCACUGAUUCCAGUUCUCUCCCCUGCAGUAGAAUUUCACAUCUCCCUCCUUGCCAUGGCCUCCAGGUGGCACAUACUUCUCCACCCUGACUUCGGGCUUGGCAGUGUGACUCCCUUGGGCCAGUGGGUUGUUGGCAGAAGUGAGGUGAGAAGAGGCUCAGCAUAUGCCCACUUGGUCGGCCUCAUCCAUGGGAAGACAGUAUUCCUGGAGGAGUGGGGAGCAGACCACACGCUCAUGGGAAGCCACCCGUCCAAGGAGGGUGAAGGAGCCCCGGAGCAGACCAGAACGUGCCCCACAUCCACUCUCAGAGCAGUGAUGGGAGACCAGGAAUCUGGGGGUGACUUGAAGAGCCUGGGGGCUGCAAUCAUCUGGAAACACUUUAGCUCCCACGCCUGGUGGUUGAUGCCUGUGGACCUCAACUGGGCUCGUGGUAACUACCUGUGGUCUCUCCGCGUGGCCUGGGCUUGCUCACAGUGUGGCGGCCUCAGGCCGUCGGACUCCCUGCAUCACAGCUGGGGGCUCCAGAGGCUGCCAUCCCGAGAGACGCGGAGAGAAGCAGCGAGGCUCUGCUGGAUGAGCCGAGGCUGUGGCCAGAGGCAGCCCUGACUCGAGGGGGCAUCAGAGAACUGUUUUGUCCUUUUCACGGAUCCUGUAUAAAUGGGCCCUACAGCAUGUGACCUUUGGGACCGGCUUCUUUGACU